GAUGAAGAACGUAGCGAAAUGCGAUACGUAAUGUGAAUUGCAGAAUUCAGUGAAUCAUCGAAUCUUUGAACGCACAUUGCACUCUCUGGUAUUCCGGAGAGUAUGCUUGUUUGAGUAUCUGUAAACAUCUCAAAUCUCUCUUCAAUUGCUUCAAUUGGGUCGAGAGAAUUGGAUUUGAGCGAUCCCGACUCCUUCGUCAGAAAGAGGAGGGUCGCUUGAAAUGCAGGUGCAGCUGGACAUUCUUCUGAGCAAAAAGCAUAUCUAUUUAGUCCCGUCAAACGGAUUAUUACUUUUGCUUCAGCUAAUAUAAAGGUUGAAUGAACUACCAACGCUGAUUGCAGGAAAACAUGUUCGUUUAUUCGGACUUGUAAACUCGAUCUCAAAUCAAGUAAGACUACCCGCUGUACUUAAGCAUAUCAAUAAGCGGAGGA
rnacentral:misc_RNA from 1 species